rnacentral:rRNA from 1 species
AAUCAACGCUGGCGGCGCGCUUAACACAUGCAAGUCGCACGAGAAAGGGUAGCAAUACCUGAGUAAAGUGGCGUACGGGUGAGUAACACGUGGAUCAUCUACCUUUUAGUGGGGAAUACCUCCGGGAACUGGAGACAAUACCGCAUAAGCUCGAAAGAGGAAAGCAGCAAUGCGCUGAAAGAGGAGUCCGCGGUCGAUUAGCUAGAUGGUGAGGUAAUGGCUCACCAUGGCGAAG